rnacentral:rRNA from 2 species
GGCUUAGAGUUUGAUCAUGGCUCAGGAUAAACGCUGGCGGCGCACAUAAGACAUGCAAGUCGAACGGAAGUCGUUAUAAACGAAUUGAAGAUUUAUCUGAUUGAAGUUUAUAACAAUGGCUUUAGUGGCGGACUGGUGAGUAACGCGUAAGCAAUCUGCCUAUUAGAGGGGAAUAACAAUGAGAAAUCAUUGCUAAUACCGCAUAUGCCAUAGUUAUCGCAUGAUAAUAGUGGGAAAGGAGUAAUCCGCUAAUAGAUGAGCUUGCGUCUGAUUAGUUAGUUGGUGGGGUAACGGCCUACCAAGACAACGAUCAGUAGCCGGACUGAGAGGUUGAACGGCCACAUUGGGACUGAGAUACGGCCCAGACUCCUACGGGAGGCAGCAGUCGGGAAUAUUGCGCAAUGGAGGAAACUCUGACGCAGUGACGCCGCGUAUAGGAAGAAGGUUUUCGGAUUGUAAACUAUUGUCGUUAGGGAAGAGAAAGGACAGUACCUAAGGAGGAAGCUCCGGCUAACUACGUGCCAGCAGCCGCGGUAAUACGUAGGGAGCAAGCGUUAUCCGGAUUUAUUGGGUGUAAAGGGUGCGUAGACGGGUAAUUAAGUUAGUUGUGAAAUCCCUCGGCUCAACUGAGGAACUGCAACUAAAACUGGUUAUCUUGAGUGCAGGAGAGGUAAGUG